GAUAAAAUAAAAAAUGUUGAAAAAAACCAUUCGUCCUGGUGUCGUGUACACAUUUAUUUUUCUAAGUUACAAGUAUUAUAUUUUUAUUAAUUAUCCGGACACAAUAUAUUAAUUGUACUUUUGACUUAUUUUAUUAUGUUUUAUUAAUAUUCGAAGUUAAAAAUACCCAGAACAGCAAUGUCACGGCAUAGUUGGGACAAGUUCAAAUAAUAACUAACAGUCAUUAACAUCACUUGAUGAUACAUAGAUUAAAAUCAGAUUAUCUUGACAUAUUGAACAUUAAAAUUCUUCCAAUGAGAACUGAGCAUUUUCAUGGACAGUUAUAAAAAAAACAUACUUCAUCACAAAACAAAUGACUUUUCAGCUUCGUUUGCAAACUAAAAUUAUACAAUUUUAAAGGAUUUAUUGAGACGCCGUUUUAUUUGCUUGUGUGCGCACUCUAAACGAUCACGGGGACAUUUUGUAAAACGGACAACCGCACAGAUGGAAAAUAUAAAAAUCCAAAAUUAAUCAACACUGCGAAAAGGUUUCGACGUGUACUAUGCGACGGUGGCGCCUGUACAGUCUGGACUAAGAUUUACCAUAAUAUUUAUUUGUCCUUAAACGCAUAUUAUACACACACGUUGAUUUAUAUUAUGACGUGGUGUUUUACACGCGUUGGGGUUGCAACAUAAGAAAUUUAAAACGCGCACCGGUUUGAAAGACUUGUAAAUAUCGAUACUCUGGAGACGACUGAGAGUGAUGGACCGCGAAAAGAGAAUGCAUGUAACAUGAAACGGUCAAUGAUCCACAAAGGACUCGCGUUAAUACAUCCUUAGGCUCUCUGUCCAAUAGACCUAUAGACAAAUUAUUAUUUAAGGUCCGUUAUUUCAAAACAAAUAAUUUACAUUCAUUCUUAAAACAGUGCCUUUUUUGUUUUGAGUUCGUUGUGCAAGAUGGUGUGUUGAGGUCCCUUUGUCUAUGUACAAGCUAAUUAUUGCUUAUUUUUGCCUUGCCACAACAUGAAGUUUGAUCUCAUUUUUUCUAUUUACUUGUAAAAAAGUUAUAGUAUUGGACUCUGCCAUUUAUUUUUGGUUUUUAUUAAUAGUGUAAUAUAAAUUAUUAUCACAUAAAAAUUACCUUUUUUCUUUUUAUUUAUAGAAUAAUUUACAUUGGUCAAUGUCCGUAAUUGCAUUAUACGGCAAUCAAUGUCAUAAAAGCACAAAGAUGCAACACUCUUGUAGGCGGACCCGCACAGAAUAGGACGCGAGUAGUCAAGACACCCGUAGGGAGAUCUCUAACCAAUGGUUCGAUCAUAACUGAUUCUGCGCAGUGUAAUUGUAUUAUUUUAGUUUGAUGUGUUGAUUGUAUUCAACUGUAACAAAUUAUCUAUAAUUUGUAUAUAAUAACAUAUAACAAAUUUUUAUAGAAUUUGACUUAAAACUGAAAACACCUUUUUGCUAAUCGUAAAUAGA